UACGUAGGGGGCUAGCGUUGUCCGGAAUCAUUGGGCGUAAAGAGCGUGUAGGCGGUCCGGUAAGUCCGCUGUGAAAGUCGGGGGCUCAACCCUCGGAUGCCGGUGGAUACUGUCGGGCUUGAGUACGGAAGAGGCGAGUGGAAUUCCUGGUGUAGCGGUGAAAUGCGCAGAUAUCGGGAAGAACACCCGUGGCGAAGGCGGUUCUCUGGGACGGUACUGACGCUGAGACGCGAAAGCGUGGGGAGCGAACAGG
rnacentral:rRNA from 1 species